UCCUCCGCCUCCUCCCAUCACGCAGGUUGGCCAUCACCUCAUUCUCCCCGCGCCGGCAGAUCGCCAAUCCCUAAUGACCCAACACAUGCAGCUAUGUGAAACUAUGAUGUAUUUUCGAUAAAAAAGGUGAACGGAAAGCUUCAAUGUCCGGCUCUGCAUCACCCUACAGUCCAGCAAUGACCAGCAAAGGAAAGCCAACAUGUGUUAGCAAUGGAGAAAAAGAUUCACGGGAACAAUCCGGUAAAGAUAUAUCAAAAGGUACACUAGCGCAACGUGCCCAACGAGAACGAGAACGUAUUUUUAAGCAAACCACUGAAAGGCGAUCGGAACAACACUCGCCGAUAAAUACAAGUGUAAGACUCUUAUUAAUCAAAAUCAUGUUUUUUUUUUUUGUGUGGUAAAUAUUGGAUGUGUUUUUAUUUUCA